rnacentral:RNase_P_RNA from 1 species
GAGAGUAGGCGUAGGCGGUUGCAGACUAGCCAAUUUGUGCAUAGUUUGAGGAAAGUCCGGGCUCCCGAAAGACCAAACUUGCUGGGUAACGCCCAGUGCGAGCGAUCGCGAGGAUAGUGCCACAGAAAGAUACCGCCAAGAGUAGGUAAUGGGUAAAGGGUAAUGGGUAACGGGAAAAAACCAAUUACCAAUUACCUUUUCCCCAAUUACCAAUCUUUGGUAAGGGUGCAAAGGUGCGGUAAGAGCGCACCAGCAACNNNNNNNNNNGAGAGGUGUUGGCUCGGUAAACCCCGGUUGGGAGCAAGGCGAAUGGAACUACGGUUGGUCUUUUACCAGUUCCGCGAUCAGAGCCGCUAGAGACGUCUGGUAACAGCCGUCCCAGAUAGAUAACCGCCCUCUUGAAUUAAGAGAACAGAACCCGGCUUACUACCGACUCUCUACU